CCUACGGGAGGCAGCAGUGGGGAAUAUUGCACAAUGGGGGAAACCCUGAUGCAGCGACGCCGCGUGAGUGAGGAAGUAUUUCGGUAUGGAAAGCUCUUUCAGCAGGGAAGAAAAUGACGGUACCUGACUAAGAAUCCCCGGCUAACUACGUGCCAGCAGCCGCGGUAAUACGUAGGGGGCAAGCGUUAUCCGGAUUUACUGGGUGUAAAGGGAGCGUAGACGGCUAAUCAAGUCAGAAGUGAAAGCCUGGGGCUCAACCUUGGGACUGCUUUUGAAACUGGGUAGCUAGAGUGCAGGAGAGGUAAGCGGAAUUCCUGGUGUAGCGGUGAAAUGCGUAGAUAUUAGGAGGAACACCAGUGGCGAAGGCGGCUUACUGGACUGUAACUGACGUUGAGGCUCGAAAGCGUGGGGAGCAAACAGGAUUAGAUACCCCGGUAGUC
rnacentral:rRNA from 1 species